CCUACGAGUGGCAGCAGUGAGGAAUCUUGGUCAAUGGGCGCGAGCCUGAACCAGCCAAGUAGCGUGAAGGAUGACUGCCCUACGGGUUGUAAACUUCUUUUAUAAAGGAAUAAAGUGAGGCACGUGUGCCUUUUUGUAUGUACUUUAUGAAUAAGGAUAGGCUAACUCCGUGCCAGCAUCCGCGGUAAUACUGAGGAUCCGAGCGUUAUCCGGAUUUAUUGGGUUUAAAGGUAGCGUAGAUGGGUUGUUAAGUCAGUUGUGAAAGUUUGCGGCUCAACCGUAAAAUUGCAAGUGAUACUGGCAGUCUUGAGUACAGUUGAGGUAGGCGGAAUUCGUGGUGUAGCGGGGAAAUGCUUAGAUAUCACGAAGAACUCCGAUUGCGAAGGCAGCUUACUAAACUGCCACUGACAUUGAUGCUCGAAAGUGUGGGUAUCAAACAGGAUUAGAUACCCGGGUAGUC
rnacentral:rRNA from 1 species